rnacentral:rRNA from 1 species
UUGUCCGGAUUUACUGGGUGUAAAGGGCGUGUAGCCGGGAGGGCAAGUCAGAUGUGAAAUCCACGGGCUCAACUCGUGAACUGCAUUUGAAACUACUCUUCUUGAGUAUCGGAGAGGCAAUCGGAAUUCCUAGUGUAGCGGUGAAAUGCGUAGAUAUUAGGAGGAACACCAGUGGCGAAGGCGGAUUGCUGGACGACAACUGACGGUGAGGCGCGAAAGCGUGGGGAGCAAACAGGAUUAGAUACCCUGGUAGUCCACGCUGUAAACGAUGAAUACUAGGUGUGCGGGGACUGACCCCCUGCGUGCCGCAGCUAACGCAAUAAGUAUUCCACCUGGGGAGUACGAUCGCAAGGUUGAAACUCAAAGGAAUUGACGGGGGCCCGCACAAGCGGUGGAUUAUGUGGUUUAAUUC